ACGGAUUAUUCUUUAUAGCUUGCUAUAAAGAAUAGUUAGUGGCAGACGGGUGAGUAAUGCAUAGGAAUCUACCUAGUAGUAUGGGAUAGCCACUAGAAAUGGUGGGUAAUACUGUAUAAUCCCUGCGGGGGAAAGAUUUAUCGCUAUUAGAUGAGCCUAUGUUAGAUUAGCUAGUUGGUAGGGUAAAGGCCUACCAAGGCGAUGAUCUAUAGCUGGUCUGAGAGGAUGAUCAGCCACACUGGAACUGAGAUACGGUCCAGACUCCUACGGGAGGCAGCAGUGGGGAAUAUUGGACAAUGGGCGCAAGCCUGAUCCAGCUAUGCCGCGUGAGUGAGGAAGGCCUUAGGGUUGUAAAACUCUUUCAGUAGGGAAGAUAAUGACGGUACCUACAGAAGAAGUCCCGGCAAACUC
rnacentral:rRNA from 1 species